AUUAACAAAAUAAAGUAAAUACACUAUCACGAAAGACUAGUGAGCUAAACAAAUAUAUUUAUUUAAGAGUACGUAGCAUAGUAUUUUUGAAAUAUAUGUUUAGGGGUGAUAGGCCUUUCAAGCUGUCUAAUAACUUGUUGCAUAUGAAAAGUAUUUAGUACAGAAACAGACUUAAAAAGUUAAGCUUUUAAGUAGUUAUUAAAAAUAUUUUUUAACCAUAGUACAGUAUAAUAGCUUGCUAACAUAAAACUUAAUACUAGAUAUAUGUUUUUAUAGAAAAUAAUAUGAUAACGUAAGUUAUUUUAACGUUUGAGAAUGUUAAUAUUAGUACUAUUUUAAAUAUGCUAAAGGAACUCGGCAAAAAUAUCACUCAACUGUUUAUCAAAAACAUAGCUAUAUGAGUUAAUAUAUAGUUAUUUCUGCUCCAUGAUUAUUAAAUAGCCGCAGUACUCUGACUGUGCAAAGGUAGCAUAAUCAGUUGGCUUUUAAUUGAAGUCUGGUAUGAACGAAAAUAUGGGAGAUAACUGUCUUAGUAUAUUUAUUCGAACUUGUUUAGUAAGUGCAAAUACUUACAAACUUCAAAAAGACGAGAAGACCCUAGAAACUUGAAAUAGUUUUUGUUGGGGCGACAGAAUUACAUUUAACUAAUUUUAAGAAACACGACGUUUAAUUGAAAGAAUAAGUUACUCUAGGGAUAACAGCAUAAUUUAAACAGCUUGUGACCUCGAUGUUGGACUAGGUAUUAUCUCCUUAAGGCAAGGAGAUAAAAUGCUCUGUUCGAGCGGUUCCACCUACAU
rnacentral:rRNA from 1 species